rnacentral:lncRNA from 1 species
UCCGCGUCUUUUUUAAAAAAUCCAAAUCUGAAGUUCGCGAUUCUCUCCUAGCCUCUCUCGCAAUCUGCAAGCCCUAGUUCUCACUUCUCUCCAAAUGGGUCGCGAUUCUCAGUGAUUCUCUCCAAAUACCCGUCGCGAUUCACUCCUCUCUCGCAAUAUGCAAGCCCUAGUUAUCGAUGUGCCCUAGCUUCUCUAAGAAUCUCUCUUCUCAACUGAAGCUUCUCUAAGAUUUGCGAUUUUAAAGCAAAGCAGGUAUGUGUCUUUUUCCUUCUAAUUUUUCUGUGACGUUUCGCUGUGGUUGAAGUUUAUUCAACCUUGAUGUGAACUGUUUUUAUGUAUUCGGAAGCUACGGGUAUUGAUGGGUCAAAUCUUGCUUAUUGAUUUCUGUUGAUUUUUGAUAUGGGUCUGUCAAUUAGGUGAUUUGAAGUUGUCAUAUUUUUCUUAGUUUUUCAUUGGUUUUCUAUCUUUUGAAGUUUUUAUUCUCAGAUGACUUUGUUUUUUUUGGGACCGACUAUUAGGUGCAGGUAAUUUUUGACCAUUACCAAUCAAAUUGUAUAUUUUUUUUAGGACUGAAAACAAUCAAAUUGUAUGUUUCAAAAGCCAAAAUGCCCAGUAGUGAAAUUUUAGGUUGAUGAUUCUUCUGACAAUAAAUCAGGUGAAGACUUAUUUUUUUCUAGGAAGUUGUUUCCAGAGUUGUUAAUAUGGAUUUUUUGAAUACUGUUCUUUCUCAGAUUAAAAAUACCAUAUAGCUGCAGACUACAGCGGGCGACUUAUUUUUAGCUUCUGUUUCGACUGUCGGUAAUUAAAACCAUCCAUUUUAUCUUGCCAAUCUUGAUAGAUAUCUUUUUCUCAGAGAGAGAGCGUUAUUGAAUCUAAUUAUUGGGUUAGCCUGUAACUCUAACUAAGUAACUAUAUUAAUUGUCAAACUCUAGUACUGGAACACAACCAAAAUUUUGGGUGUUCAUUAGAUCAUAUUAUACAAUAUUGAUAUAAUCCGCUUGAAAUAAUAAUAAUCAUCAUCUUCCUUCACCAACGCAACGCUGCUUUAAUAUCAUAGUCAACAAAUAUUCUUUCAUUAAUUUGCAACAAAUUUACGAAAAGAAGAAGAACAAUGGAAUAAGUAAUAUACUAGUAUCACAAACAGUCAAAUUAUUGACUUUUUUUCUUUGAAUGUAAAUUGUUUGACUUUAAUAUAUCCCGAUUAAAUUGUUAAAUUUUAAAUUUUAUAUUGUAAUGUGAAUGGUAUGUCAUUGUCCACAUAAUCUGGUGAAUGGUAUGUUAUGUCCACAUAAUCUGGUGAAUGGCAUGUUACUUGUAAAGGGAGGUUCAGGAAAUAAGGACUACAUAAAUCUUUCUUAAAUGUGGGCAGAGGAUAUGAUCUAAAUCCAUGGUCUGCUCCAUGAUGGCUACAAAUGGCACAAAACUUUUAUGUGGCUUAUAUUUUUUGAUGUUUUGUAGGAGGCGUCACAAAUCUCUGAUGCAGCCGAGAGCUAUUCAAGUGAUUCCUGGUUUGUUGAAGAAGUUGAGGGCUCUUGAAAAUGAAGCUCAAAAUGUUAAACACAAACAUAGGUUGUAAUUAGAAUUUGGGAGAUGGAAAAGUUAGGUUGUGUGAAGUCCCUAUUUUAAAUGUAAUGAAUUGAUUGUAAUGAAGCAAAGCUUUUGCCAACAAAGGAUGACUACUAGUUGAUUUAGACAACUUUUAAAUACUGUUUUGUGCAAUGUGAUGAAGACUGUACAUGUCUUACAGGAACAUGAAUGGUUAAAAGCAAUUUUGUUACACCAUGAUCUAUUGAGGUUGAUUGACCCUGGGUUAAUUUCUCCAUCCUGCGUUCUAGGCAACUCGCAAGCCCUAUUGAGUGAUUUAGUAGCAUGCUUAUUUUCAGAUUGUAUACAUCAGUUUCCUAGAAUCAUAAUAUUAGAGAGAGAUUAAGACUUUGGGAAAUUAGAAAGAUGAAAUGGCAGAUAUUAACUGAGAAUGGUAAAGAACAAAAAUAGUGAAGGCUUGACAAUUUACAAACACUCACUCAAUAUUGUUCAACAUUCAUUCAUACAUAUCAAGAAGAUGAGUGAGGAGGACAUGUAAUAUAAAUAAAUUCUUGUACAUCAUCAGCAUCAUCAAAGUAUAAAAUAGCUUCUAAAUAUAAUAGAAUUUUGGCUUUUCCCAUAUAGCAAGCAGCUUUUGCCUCGUUUUUGAAUCAGUAUUGCCUGCUUCUAUAAGCAUUCACAAGAGAGAAAUGUUGCCCAUUCACAGGAGAGAAAUGUUGCCUCUUUUCUUACCACAACCAACAGGACCAACACAACUUCACCAUACCGAUCGCACCAUGACCUGAAGAACAGAAGAAGAACAAAUUCAAAUCACAAAUAAAUAAUAGAUCACAGAUUACAAAGCAAU